rnacentral:tRNA from 1 species
AAACCAGAGGACCUGAUAAAUGAAUAUGCGCUUCCCCGGUGCGAAGGAGACGGUUACUUCUCCUCUCAAGAGCGGGACGCGGGUUCGAAUCCCGCCGUCG